GGUAGGGUGGCCGAGCAGGUGGCGAGCUGUAGACUUGUUUACGGGGCUGUGCCCCCCCCAC
rnacentral:tRNA from 1 species